rnacentral:rRNA from 1 species
CCUACGGGAGGCAGCAGUGGGGAAUAUUGGGCAAUGGGCGCAAGCCUGACCCAGCCACGCCGCGUGAAGGAAGAAGGCCUUCGGGUUGUAAACUUCUUUUGUCAGGGACGAAGGAAGUGACGGUACCUAACGAAUAAGCCACGGCUAACUACGUGCCAGCAGCCGCGGUACUACGUAGGUGGCAAGCGUUAUCCGGAUUUACUGGGUGAAAAGGGCGUGUAGGCGGGUGUGCAAGUCAGACGUGAAAUUCCAGGGCGAAACCGCGUACUGCCGUUGAAACUGCAUCCCUUGAGUGCGCGAGAAGUGUGCAGAAUGCGAGGUGUAGCGGUGAAAUGCAUAGAGAUCAGGCAGAACUCCGAUUGCGAAGGCAGCAUACCGGAGCGAAACGGACGCUCAGGCACGAAAGCGUGGGUAGCGAACAGGAUUAGAUACCCCUGUAGUC